rnacentral:snoRNA from 1 species
CAAGCAUCGUGAUGAUAUGUGUUUGUCCGAUCAAUUUCAUGACAGGAUGAAUCACCUCCUACUCAUACUGA